rnacentral:rRNA from 1 species
AGGAGAGUUUGAUCCUGGCUCAGGACGAACGCUGGCGGCGUGCCUAACACAUGCAAGUCGAACGGAGUAAAGAGCUUCGGUUUUUUACUUAGUGGCGAACGGGUGAGUAACGCGUGAGCAACCUGACUCUUUGAGGGGGAUAACAGUCGGAAACAACUGCUAAUACCGCAUAAGACCACGAACCGGCAUCGGUAUGAGGUCAAAGGAGCAAUCCGCAGAGAGAGGGGCUCGCGUCCCAUUAGAUAGUUGGCGGGGCAACGGCCCACCAAGUCCGCGAUGGGUAGCCGAGCUGAGAGGCUGAUCGGCCACACUGGAACUGAGACACGGUCCAGACUCCUACGGGAGGCAGCAGUGGGGAAUAUUGGGCAAUGGGCGCAAGCCUGACCCAGCAACGCCGCGUGAGGGAAGAAGGCUUUCGGGUUGUAAACCUCUGUCCUUGGUGACGAAACAAAUGACGGUAGCCAAGGAGGAAGCCCCGGCUAACUACGUGCCAGCAGCCGCGGUAAUACGUAGGGGGCGAGCGUUGUCCGGAAUUACUGGGCGUAAAGGGUGCGUAGGUGGCUGACUAAGUUGGAUGUGAAAUCCCCGGGCUUAACUUGGGGUCUGCAUCCAAAACUGGCCGGCUAGAGUGCAGGAGAGGAAAGCGGAAUUCCUAGUGUAGCGGUGAAAUGCGUAGAUAUUAGGAGGAACACCAGUGGCGAAGGCGGCUUUCUGGACUGUAACUGACACUGAGGCACGAAAGCGUGGGGAGCAAACAGGAUUAGAUACCCUGGUAGUCCCCU